AACGAACGCUGGCGGCAUGCCUAACACAUGCAAGUCGAACGAGACCUUCGGGUCUAGUGGCGCACGGGUGCGUAACGCGUGGGAAUCUGCCCCUUGGUUCGGAAUAACUUCGGGAAACUGAAGCUAAUACCGGAUAAUGACGUAAGUCCAAAGAUUUAUCGCCAAGAGAUGAGCCCGCGUAGGAUUAGCUAGUUGGUGGGGUAAAGGCUCACCAAGGCGACGAUCCUUAGCUGGUCUGAGAGGAUGAUCAGCCACACUGGGACUGAGACACGGCCCAGACUCCUACGGGAGGCAGCAGUGGGGAAUAUUGGACAAUGGGCGAAAGCCUGACGCAGCCACGCCGCGUGAGCGAUGAAGGCCUUCGGUCGUAAAGCUCUGUGGGGAGAGAAGAAGAAAGUACUGUGAAGAGCGGACCUUGACGGUAUCUCCUUAGCAAGCACCGGCUAACUCCGUGCCAGCAGCCGCGGUAAU
rnacentral:rRNA from 1 species